rnacentral:rRNA from 2 species
UGGGGAAUAUUGCGCAAUGGGGGAAACCCUGACGCAGCAACGCCGCGUGAGUGACGAAGGUUUUCGGAUCGUAAAACUCUGUCUUUGGGGAAGAAAGCAAUGACGGUACCCAAGGAGGAAGCCCCGGCUAACUACGUGCCAGCAGCCGCGGUAAUACGUAGGGGGCAAGCGUUGUCCGGAAUCAUUGGGCGUAAAGGGCGUGUAGGCGGUAAUGUAAGUCAGAUGUGAAAGUCUGGGGCUUAACCCCAGAAUUGCAUUUGAAACUGCGUUACUUGAGUACUGGAGAGGUAAGCGGAAUUCCUAGUGUAGCGGUGAAAUGCGUAGAUAUUAGGAGGAACACCAGUGGCGAAGGCGGCUUACUAGACAGAGACUGACGCUGAGACGCGAAAGCGUGGGGAGCAAACAGG